rnacentral:rRNA from 1 species
AGCAGCAGCCACGGGAAUACGAAGGGUGCAAGCGUUAAUCGGAAUUACUGGGCGUAAAGCGUGCGUAGGCGGUUUGUUAAGUCUGCUGUGAAAUCCCCGGGCUCAACCUGGGAAUGGCAGUGGAUACUGGCAAGCUAGAGUGUGUCAGAGGGGGGUGGAAUUCCGCGUGUAGCAGUGAAAUGCGUAGAGAUCGGGAGGAACAUCAGUGGCGAAGGCGGCCAUCUGGGACAACACUGACGCUGAGGCACGAAAGCGUGGGGAGCAAACAGGAUUAGAUACCCCCGUAGUCCCUGUCUCUUAUAA